UACCGGAGGCAGCAGUGGAGAAUCCUACGGGAGGCAGCAGUGGGUAAUCCUGCGCAAUGGGCGAAACCCUGAUGCAGCAACGCCGCGUGGGGGAUGAAGUCCCUUGGGACGUAAACUCCUUCGACCGCGACGAUAAUGACGGUACCUGAAGAAGAAGCACGCUACACG
rnacentral:rRNA from 1 species